GAUGAACGCUGGCGGCGUGCUUAACACAUGCAAGUCGAACGAUGAAGACCAGCUUGCUGGGCGGAUUAGUGGCGAACGGGUGAGUAACACGUGAGUAACCUGCCCUUGAUUCUGGGAUAAGCCUGGGAAACUGGGUCUAAUACUGGAUAUGACUUCUCAUCGCAUGGUGGGGGGUGGAAAGAUCUAUUGGUCUUGGAUGGACUCGCGGCCUAUCAGCUUGUUGGUGAGGUAAUGGCUCACCAAGGCGACGACGGGUAGCCGGCCUGAGAGGGUGACCGGCCACACUGGGACUGAGACACGGCCCAGACUCCUACGGGAGGCAGCAGUGGGGAAUAUUGCACAAUGGGCGCAAGCCUGAUGCAGCGACGCCGCGUGAGGGAUGACGGCCUUCGGGUUGUAAACCUCUUUCAGUAGGGAAGAAGCGAGAGUGACGGUACCUGCAGAAGAAGCGCCGGCUAACUACGUG
rnacentral:rRNA from 1 species